rnacentral:rRNA from 1 species
UACGUAGGGGGCAAGCGUUGUCCGGAAUCAUUGGGCGUAAAGCGCGCGUAGGCGGCCCGGUAAGUCCGCUGUGAAAGUCAAAGGCUCAACCUUUGAAUGUCAGCGGAUACUGCCGGGCUAGAGUCCGGAAGAGGCGAGUGGAACUCCUGGUGUAGCGGUGGAAUGCGCAGAUAUCAGGAAGAACACCAACGGCGAAGGCAGCUCGCUGGGACGGUACUGACGCUGAGACGCGAAAGCGUGGGGAGCGAACAGG